UUUUUUUUAUCCGAUAGUUUACAAUAUUUUGUAUAUGGGAGAAAAGUUUCGCAACCAAAAAGUAAUUAGAAGUAUAUAAAAAAAUGUUUUAACAAACAAAGUCAAAUCGACAAUCGAUUCACUUAGCUGUUUGAAAUAUUUAAUCUAUUAGUUGUCCAGCAUCUUUUAACAAAUACAACACUAUCCCCACAGGCGCGAACAGCGCACAGUAUUCGCUUGCGCCGGCCACGCAUGGCUAGCCGUGCGACGCUGCAGUGCGCUGCGGGUCGUGCGGGGGGAGGGGCUGCUGCAAGAGCCACUGCUGCUGCAUUGGGGUCGUUGGCUACACAUGCUAGAGCAGCGCAUACGAGACUUGUCCCUGCGCAUCCAGCUAGAGCUGUGCAGCUCUAGCUGUACGGUGGUCGGCUGAUGAUGAUAUAGUGGGAUUCCUGCAGGCGCUACUGAAUUAUCGGUUGCUGAAGAAUGUGCUGGAUGAUGCGCCACCUACACAGCAGUUAAAAAUGAAAACCCGCAUAUGCGCAUAUACAGUGUUCUGGAAUGGGCUAUUUUAUUAAACGAAGGAAAACCAAGUUUGUGUGAUUAAAAUAUAUUUUUACAUGCUUUAAAUUCAUACCUAUGUGUUCUCAUACUUAAUUGGCAAUAAAAAUUAUUAUGUUCGAUAAA